rnacentral:lncRNA from 1 species
AUGUGGAGUGGGGAAGCAUCCUGCUAUACUGGCAAGACAUCAACCGGAGUCUGCAGGGGAGUGAACAGAAAGAAUGGCCUCUUAUCCACGUCUGGAGAGAAAUCACUCCCAGGGUUUGAGGUCUGCUGCACUCCACGGGGAAAAGCCCUGAUUGGUAGAAAAAUGAAGGCAAGAAGCAAGAAUUAGAAGUCACAAUUUCCACAAAGAUGUUUCGACACUAGAAUUUUCUGAGAGCACUUUGUGUUUGUGAAGUAUGCGUAGUGAUCACCCAGGUGAUUGAAGAUUCACUGAUGCCCAGAAGAUACACAGCAUGAAGAGCAGCCGGGAGCACCUCCACGUUGGCUGACUUUUCCCAGGCGCUUGGGGUCCUACCUGGAAAUCUGUGCUUUGACUUGGAGCCUAGUUCCUAGUGUGAAAUCUCACAAUGGAAGGAAUCCGCCAUGAAAAUUCUAAGUGAAAUUCUAGUCUUUUAAAAUCACUUGUAUACCAUUUCUCUGAAUGAUAUUUUCUGAUUCAUAAAAUUUGAGUAAUGGGUUUGUUAACUUCUUACAUAUUGUGGUUACAAUGAUAUAAUUCAAACUUUACUUAAGGACAUGAAACUCUUGUAAGAAAAAACAAAAAAAUGUUUUUCUUGAAACAGUGGCUGGGGACUUUCUCUUUUCAGUUUGAUGAGGUGUCAUUUCAGGUGCUAAAGACUUUAUAUACUCAUUUGUAUAUCCCCUGACAAUUAAAAUGAAGCUAGAUAACACAUUUAACAAGAAGAAGAAAAUGAAAUUAUUAUCGUGUUUAUGCAACAUCAAAAAAACUGCCUUUUGAUGCUAAAAGACACAGGUGUUAUCAUCAGGCAUUAGGCAGUGCCUAAAAGUUAAUAUCAUUGUUGACUUCAUUUCCCAGUCAAAGUGGGAUCACCUUUCCUUUCGCCUUCUCCACCCACUCGUCAUUUAUAAGAAAAGGGAGGUAGUUUCUAGAUUGCAGUUGCCAUUUUCUUUUAUCGUGUGGUUCUGAGCUUGUCCACCUGAGACCUGUUUCUCCUUUCCCCCACUUCAACUCCAUAUGCUUUUUUCCUUUUAUGUACUUAAAAAAAGUUUAUCAUGAACCUAAUUGAGUCUUUGUAAAUUUGAGAGAUGAGGCACAAGAAAAAUGUAGAGGAAUUAAUCAAAAGACAAGGCUGAUCAUUUUUUUCUUUUUCUGAAUGUCAGCUUUGAAAAACCCUUCCUGCUAAAGGCCAGAAUAAAUGUUAAUGAUUCAGAAGAAGGAAGAAACA